GAUGAAGAACGUAGCGAAAUGCGAUAAGUAAUGUGAAUUGCAGAAUUCAGUGAAUCAUCGAAUCUUUGAACGCACAUUGCGCCCGCCAGUAUUCUGGCGGGCAUGCCUGUCCGAGCGUCAUUUCAACCAUCAAGCCUCGUGCUUGUGUUGGGGACCUGCGUCCGACGCAGGCCCUGAAAACCAGUGGCGGGCUCGCUGUCCACACCGAGCGUAGUAACUAACCUCGCUAUGGAGUGGCGCGGGCGCCUGCCGUAAAACACCCAAUUUCACAAGGUUGACCUCGGAUCAGGUAGGAAUACCCGCUGAACUUAAGCAUAUCAAUAAGCGGAGGA
rnacentral:misc_RNA from 1 species